rnacentral:rRNA from 1 species
UCCGUAGGUGGAUCAAUCAGUCAGUGGUGAAAUCCUGCAGCUUAACUGUAGAACUGCCAUUGAUACUGUUGAUCUUGAGUGUAGUUGAGGUAGGCGGAAUGAGUAGUGUAGCGGUGAAAUGCUUAGAUAUUACUCAGAACACCGAUUGCGAAGGCAGCUUACUAAACUAUUACUGACACUGAUGGACGAAAGCGUGGGGAGCGAACAGGAUUAGAUACCCUGGUAGUCC